rfam:Ovis aries breed Texel chromosome 2, whole genome shotgun sequence.
UUCCUGGUGGCUCAGAGGUUAAAGCAUCUGCCUGCAACGUGGGAGACCCAGAUUCGAUCUCUAGGUCAGGAAU